rnacentral:rRNA from 1 species
AGUGAACGCUGGCGGUAGGCCUAACACAUGCAAGUCGAACGGCAGCACAGUAAGAGCUUGCUCUUACGGGUGGCGAGUGGCGGACGGGUGAGGAAUACAUCGGAAUCUACUUUUUCGUGGGGGUUAACGUAGGGAAACUUACGCUAAUACCGCAUACGACCUACGGGUGAAAGCAGGGGAUCUUCGGACCUUGCGCGAUUGAAUGAGCCGAUGUCGGAUUAGCUAGUUGGCGGGGUAAAGGCCCACGAAGGCGACGAUCCGUAGCUGGUCUGAGAGGAUGAUCAGCCACACUGGAACUGAAACACGGUCCAGACUCCUACGGGAGGCAGCAGUGGGGAAUAUUGGACAAUGGGCGCAAGCCUGAUCCAGCCAUACCGCGUGUGUGAAGAAGGCCUUCGGGUUGUAAAGCCCUUUUGUUGGGAAAGAAAAGCAGCAGGUUAAUACCCCGCUGUUCUGACGGUACCCGAAGAAUAAGCACCGGCUAACUUCGUG